rnacentral:rRNA from 1 species
GUGCCAGCCGCCGCGGUAAUACGUAGGGUGCGAGCGUUAAUCGGAAUUACUGGGCGUAAAGCGUGCGCAGGCGGCUCGCCAAGUCAGAUGUGAAAGCCCCGGGCUUAACCUGGGAAUUGCGUUUGAAACUGGCGGGCUGGAGUGUGGCAGAGGGAGGUGGAAUUCCACGUGUAGCAGUGAAAUGCGUAGAGAUGUGGAGGAACACCGAUGGCGAAGGCAGCCUCCUGGGCCAACACUGACGCUCAUGCACGAAAGCGUGGGGAGCAAACAGGAUUAGAAACCCGUGUAGUCC